GAUGAACGCUGGCGGCGUGCCUAAUACAUGCAAGUCGAGCGAACAGACGAGGAGCUUGCUCCUCUGACGUUAGCGGCGGACGGGUGAGUAACACGUGGAUAACCUACCUAUAAGACUGGGAUCACUUCGGGAAACCGGAGCUAAUACCGGAUAAUAUAUUGAACCGCAUGGUUCAAUAGUGAAAGACGGCUUUGCUGUCACUUCUAGCUGGAUCCGCGCUGCAUUAGCUAGUUGGUAAGGUAACGGCUUACCAAGGCAACGAUGCGUAGCCGACCUGAGAGGGGGAUCGGCCACACUGGAGCUGAGACACGGUCCAGACUCCUACGGGAGGCAGCAGUAGGGAAUCUUCCGCAAUGGGCGAAAGCCUGACGGAGCAACGCCGCGUGAGUGAUGAAGGUCUUCGGAUCGUAAAACUCUGUUAUUAGGGAAGAACAAAUGUGUAAGUAACUAUGCACGUCUUGACGGUACCUAAUCAGAAAGCCACGGCUAACUACGUG
rnacentral:rRNA from 1 species